rnacentral:lncRNA from 1 species
GCAACAGAUCGUCACUCGGUGUUCUCACCGAAAGCACGUAAUCGCCGGUGUAACUCAUGUUGGCUGGGGGGCCUCCCGGCGCGCGCGGAGAGGCUGGGGUGCGCCCCCAUGCAGCAUGCUUGUGCUCAAUUGCAGGGUCCUCGUUCUCGAGUGUGCAGAGGGCGGUGAGAGCUCAACUCUCGUCCCCACCUCCCACCCGCAGCUCCCCGGAAACUCCCUCCUCCUCGCUGCCUGCCGGGCUUCGGAGUGACUCGGCAGAGACAGAGGCACAGGGGCUGCCCUGCUGCUCACCGGUCCACCCAUCUGCCUGGUCUUCUGGAGCUGAGGACUCGGGAAACCAUGCAAUUGAGGCAAGCCUUGGGCUGCUUUAGAGGCGCUGACAUCCGAGGAGACUUCUCCUGGGAGGUCCAACAGCCGAGCUUAGCCCACCGGGCUCUGGGAAAGACCCGACUGAGGCUAAAGCCGCCCCGGAAGGCCAAGUCCGAGUUCCAUUUCUUGAAGAGGCCGGCGCGCGUAAGGCUGUGACAUUGGCCCUGGCGACUGGCUUCCCAGGAGCUGUUCUUUCUCAGGAGCUCCACAGCGCGGGCCAUCUCCAGAAAACUGUCUUCAGAGUGUAUUUCCUUUUAUCGUCAACCCAGAGCCCCACCGCGGCUAAUGCAAGAGGCCAAAAAAUGUUUGGAGGAAGAAAAACAAAGGCAGGAAGUGGCGGCGGCCUGACGGUGCGUGUGUGUCUGCAGAGAAGGGAGGGAGCCGGCUCAGUCUCUUCUUGUUUUUCCAAACUUCAAGGUCCAGGCAGCCCUCUGCAGGGCCGGGCCCCAUUGCUCCCCGCGCGGCAUUGGAGGUGGCCGCCCGGAGAGGAGAAGGCCAACGCCUGCGCCAGGCUUGUCAGGCGGAAACGGCUAACAAGGAGAUUUGGUCAGCAAAACAGACCCAGCCUUUCCGAGGCUUCGUCUGACUUGGCCCGAAAGGUUGGGGAGGGGGGGCUUGCGCAGAGCCUCAGGGACCCUCCUCUCUGGGGACUACCAUCCCUGAGCCUUACGCUUCUUUCCACAGCCUUUGCAGGCGGAAUAUCGGAAUAAAGUGGGUCCAGGCGCCUCUGC